UCUCUCUCUCUCUCUCGCCCUUCCCCGAAACGGCGAAACCCUAUCCCUCUCCUCCUCUCUCUCCCCCUCCCCGGUCCCAAUCUUUAUGGCUCAUCUCGGAGGGGCGCAGCCUGGUGUUGACUCGUUGGAGGAAGGCGAAGAAGAUGGUGACUACGGUGAGCCCACUCCGGUGGCUGGAGAUCGUGACGGAGGAGAGAGAGUCCUCCAGAUCCACUUUCUCUCUCCUCCACGAAUUUGAGUUCUUGUUUCCUUUCUAUUCAGCACCCAACCUCCUCCUCCAUCUCCGAACGGCACCGAACCAUCCUGUUCUUCCUUCUCCGCCUCCGACCAGAACCCGACCCUUCUCCGCCUCUGACCAGCACCCGGCUAAGAAAGAAGAGGAGAGAGAGGUCGGGUGCGAGGGGUUAGGGAUCAAAGAUGGUGGAUGUUCCAGAGUUCAAGGCCCCCGUUUCGGAGACGAAUCGGAGCAACUCCGAAAGAAGUGUGCUUCGGGUUUCCGAGCUACAAACCAAAGUGAUUGGUAUUGGUUUCAGGCGAUUAUGCGAACUCUAUAGAGAGUUAAAUUGGGUAAAUUGGCUAGCUGUGUUUGCAAAUUUGUGUGGAGUUAUUACAGCUGUGUUUGUGAGAUUUCUUCAUAGAGUUGAAAAGUAAGAAUGUGAAGAGGUUAUUGUCUAGCUCUAACCUGACCAGAAGAGUACCAUUUGGAAUUUGCAACCUGUGACAGUUCAAUGCACAUCCUUUGUCCAAUUGUUCCAUUUGAAAGAUUAGCAUGGUCUUAUGUAUAGAUCAAUCGGAACAAUUUGGCCAAUUUUCUCUUCACCUAUUUCUCAUUUAUGUCUCUGUGGGCUGUUAUUAAGCUAGAAACUCUUUUGAGUGAGAACAUGAGAGAGUUGUCUCAUAUGUGGGCACCUCCAAUAUAUAGAAGAUUGCUUAGCUCUGAUAAGAGUGAUAUGUCAGAAAGGUGUCUACUGAAGAUUAGAUCCACAAUCAUACCUUCUCCAAUAGAUCUCUCCAAGGUACUUGUCAGAGAUUUAAAGACAAAGUUGCUCACUGGGAUGCAUGAUAUGCUAUCAGUGGUAUGAAGAUUCAAACUAUUCAAGCAUGGGGAUGGUAUAUCCGCUUACUAGGGUCUCAUGCCUUGAAGAACAGACAUUUAAUUAAUGAUAUGCUGAAAAUUCCCAAGAAAACAUUUUCAGAUAACGACUCACAAGUUCAGAUUGCUUCCCAGUUCCCAGGCCUGGAGGAUACUAGAUAUUUGUGUGUACAUGUUUGAACUCUACAGCUAUAGGUCAUACACACCGAAGGAAAGUGUGUUUAGACUCAGGGGACACUAUUCAGAAUGGUGUAUGCUGCCCCCUUUUGUUGUAGUGGUUAUGUGCAUUGUGGGAUCAGUGAUUAUAGUAAUCCAUGUGCCUCAGGAGCAUACUUAUGGACUAUUGCGACCCAACCAGCCUUUGUAAUGUACGUUGUUGCUACACUUUCUCUAGCGAACUUGCUGAAGAAAAUGCACUAGUGUGUGAUGCAGAAAUGAAAAGUGAAUUUGCUGCAGAACUAGAUAUGGAUAUGUACUUUUGGUUAGAAUUGCUGGAUUUGAUCAUAUCUGGAUAUGGAUAUGUACUUUUGGAAAUGUUUUGGAUUGGCAAUGUAAGAACAGAUGGCAUUGAUAUAUGACAAUGUUAUAUUUUGGAUUUGUUCAGGA